rnacentral:lncRNA from 1 species
GUUAAUGGGCCUGCAUUUCAGAAACGAAACUCACGAGAACAGGACCUGUCUUGUAGAGGGAGAUAAGGCAAUGCUAGGAUGACCAACUGUCCAGUUUGACCCCAGACCAUCUUGGUUUAGCAUGGAAAGGCUUGUGUCCCAGGAAACCACUCAGUCCCAGGCAAACUGGAAAGUUGGUCGCCCUACUGGGCUUAGUAGGCUGGCUUAUCAUGGCAGCUUUAUUGUGCUUUGAAGUGAUUUGGUGUUUUACUUAAAUUUUAAACCCAAGAAAAGCCUCUGAGCAUAUUGUGAAAUGGCAUGUAACCACAUGUAACUGAUGACUGCCAGUUAGAACCUUCAGCUUUUCUAAAUCUCUCUUCUCACAAGUUGUGGUGGGUCAGGGUUCCUAAACUUGUCUGCACAUUGGAAUCACCUGGGGAGCUUAAAAAAAAAGAGGAAGAAAGUGAUCUCUGUGUUCUACAUCACCCAAUUGUGAGUUAAUUGGUUUAAGGUGUGACCUGGGUGCUCCUAGUUUUAAAAGGUCCCCAGACGAUUCAAAUCUACAGACAAAUCCCACCAUCAGUAUCCCUGUGGUAGAUAGUAUUCAAAGAUGGCAGCCAUGACUACCUCUCUCUUUCUGGACACAUGCCAUUCAUCAGAGACUAUUCUAAGAUGCAGGAAUAAUACCAUCUACCUGGAGGUGGCCUGGAAGACUGCACAGCUAGCUGUGUGGGUGGUGAAGCUAUUGCCAGCUCAGUUACACACUCCCUCUUGUUUACUUUCCUUUUGGUCCUGCUUCACUCUUGCUUCACUGAGAUUACAUCCCACUACCGCCACCUCCACCAAAAAUUAGCAUGCAGUCUUUUGUCUCAUCUUUUUAUGAUUAGCCCUGAGCUAACUACUGCCAAUCCUCCUCUUUUUGCUGAGGAAGCCUGACCCUGAGCUGACAUCCGUGCCCAUCUUCCUCUGCUUUAUAUGUGGGACGCCUACUGCAGCAUGGCGUGCCAAGCAGUGCCAUGUCUGCACCCAGGAUGCGAACCCUGGGCUGCUGAGAAGUAGAACGUGCCAACUUAACCACUAUGCCACCGGGCCGGCCCGUCAGGAAUUUCUUAAAGGUGUCAUUGAGUGACUAGCCUGAAGGCAUGAGCUCAGAGGGUUGGGUUUUGGGAGGGCAAGAAUAAUAUGAGAUACAGGAGCAAACCUUAUCCGUGAGGAGUUCCCUCCAUUUGCAUGUCCACGUAUAACUUUGGACAGAGUCCUAAAGGUUAAGCGAGGCCAACAAUUUACAGAAAAAA